AGGCUCUUCUCAAACGACAUGUUUGUUCAGAUGUAUAAAAGAUGUUAAAUUUUGGUGCAUGGAUGGUUCAGAGAAUGAGAGAUUGGAGGAAGAGAUCUGGGAGAGCACUUUGUAUUAGAAGCAUUUCAUUUCUUACUUUAAAUCCCUCAAGUUUCCAAAUCCAAAGUAGCAUUAUUUUAUGGCAUCUCUGAUCUUUUCUUCUCAUCUCCAUACAGCUCCAUCAAGUUGUGAAUGGAUGUUCAAAUUUUGCUACUUAAUUUCCUUCUGCUUAUGCAAAGGAACUACAAAGAUCCCCAGCCUACAACAAGUCAUUACGUGAAAAGUUCACAAAACUCUUGCUGUUUUGUGAAAUAACAAAUGCAGUGGAACUUUGGAGUUCAUGUUGGAGACUACUAUCUGAUGAGCAUUAACAAAAUGGAAACAACAAACAUCUGACAGAUGUUGGCGGACUAACAAUAUUGGGUGAAAAGAAACAAUUUUCUGAAAAGAUGGACGUGAGACUACUCUGACCGAAUAUACACAAAUAUAUUAACAUACACAAAAUGACUAAUUCAAAAUAAUUACUGUCAGUACUCAUUGAUUUUUGCAGGGGAAUGUCUAUGCAGGUCUUGCUGUUUAGUAAUGCUUCCAACAAAUCAUUGACGGAAUUGCUGGUGGUCCUGACACAACAAACGAUAAUUAUACUUGCAACAUCAGUAUGUUUGAGAAAAUUUUGUAGUCGUUACUCUGUGGGCUCAACAAAUGCAACUCAUUUCACAUUAAUUUUGAAAUACCAGAAGUACAACAAUUCAGUAAAAGGUUAGAUCAUAAAUCUAUAUUUAAACGACGAAUUUGCUACAUGUCAAAUUCUUUUUUAAUUUCAAUGAAGUCGAUAUGCUUUUGCUUUAAAACCUAAUAGUUGUAUAAGAGGUACUCCAAUCAGACGAGAAAUCGUGAUAGAGAAGACGAGGCAUCGAAUGAUCAUAUUUCUAUAUCAGAGGUGAUAAAAAAAGUCAACAAAAACAUCGAUUCCGGAUUUUGAACAUUUUUUACAUUACACAUUAAACAAAUAUUACACUCCACAAGUUUACAAUUGUAAUGUGCAUGCACCAAGACUUCGUAUUUACGUGUACAACUACAAUCAUCCAUGAAAUUAGCCAAAAAUGUGUGUACUACAUGGCAUGUGAGGAGUGUAACAAAAAAGUUAUAUUGAAUAAUUGAAAGAGCAA